UUAUAUCUACAUACAUAUGAACAAUAUAUGGAUUAAUGAUAUGUUAUGUGCUAUCUUUUGGUUUGGCCUAUAUUAGUGGUCUUAUGGACAUUGUUAAGGGGGCCAAUAUAUUGUCAUAUAAAGUGUAGGACUAAUGUGUAGAUACCCAAAAGGGUAACCUUAGUUAAUGAUGGGCUAACUAAGGUUACAUACAUGUAACCAUGGUUACAUGCUUAUGGCUUUUGAGUUUCAUAACUAAUAUGUUAUAAGAGGGGGGUUAUGGUUCCCAUAAGUAUGCAAGACAUUCUCUUCUUCCUCCCAUUGAAACUAGAGAGCAUUUUGGUCUUGCAUAUCAAG
rnacentral:lncRNA from 1 species